rnacentral:rRNA from 1 species
CGGACGGGUGAGUAACACGUGGAUAACCUACCUAUAAGACUGGGAUAACUUACGGGAAACCGGAGCUAAUACGGAUAAUAUAUUGAACCGCAUGGUUCAAUAGUGAAAGACGGUUUUGCUGUCACUUAUAGAUGGAUCCGCGCCGCAUUAGCUAGUUGGUAAGGUAACGGCUUACCAAGGCAACGAUGCGUAGCCGACCUGAGAGGGUGAUCGGCCACACUGGAACUGAGACACGGUCCAGACUCCUACGGGAGGCAGCAGCC